rnacentral:rRNA from 1 species
UACGUAGGGGGCAAGCGUUGUCCGGAAUCACUGGGCGUAAAGCGCACGUAGGCGGAUCCUUAAGUCGGGGGUGAAAUCCUGGAGCUCAACUCCAGAACUGCCUUCGAUACUGAGGAUCUCGAGUCCGGGGGAGGUGAGUGGAACUGCGAGUGUAGAGGUGAAAUUCGUAGAUAUUCGCAAGAACACCAGUGGCGAAGGCGGCUCACUGGCCCGGUACUGACGCUGAGGUGCGAAAGCGUGGGGAGCAAACAGG